GGCGGUGCUUCUCCCAGUCUGCCUUCUGGUUCGCAGGCCUGGAGGCACAUUAGAAUCACCUGAGGGGGCUUUUAAAUCCACCCAUGCCUGGGACCCACCCAGAAAUCUCCAGGAGUGCAGCUGAGGUAGGGAAGUUUUUAAAAACUCUUCAGGUGACUGUGAAGCAGAGAGCAUAUCACUGCUCGAGCGUUUCAGAACCAGAAACAAAUAAGUGACACAAGUGAAGAGUGAAACUACAACAUUUCGGAAUCAAAUUGUCAUGUUGGGAGUAGUCCUAUGGAGAGGCCCCGGUGGCAAGAAACUGAGGUCUCCAGCUCUCAGCAAGAACCCGAGGCCUGCUAACACCCACGUGAGUGAGCUCAGACUCAGGUGUGCUCUGAAACCUGCUGCCAGGUGAGUGCAGUUCUUCCCACAGGGAGCCCUGAGAUGACCGCCGCCUCCGGGGAGACCUUGAAUCAGAACCGCCCAGCUAAGCUACUCCUGCAUUUCUGACCCACAGCACAGAUGGUACAACUGAGGCACAGAGGGGUGAAG
rnacentral:lncRNA from 1 species